UCGAGGGGCAGCAUGGUCUUAGCUUGCUAAGGCCGAUGGCGACCGGCGCACGGGUGAGUAACGCGUAUGCAACUUACCUAUCAGAGGGGGAUAGCCCGGCGAAAGUCGGAUUAAUACCCCAUAAAACAGGGGUCCCGCAUGGGAAUAUUUGUUAAAGAUUCAUCGCUGAUAGAUAGGCAUGCGUUCCAUUAGGCAGUUGGCGGGGUAACGGCCCACCAAACCGACGAUGGAUAGGGGUUCUGAGAGGAAGGUCCCCACAUUGGUACUGAGACACGGACCAAACUCC
rnacentral:rRNA from 1 species